AAAAACAUCACCUCUUGUAAUCUCCAAAUAAGAGGCCUCGCCUGCCCCGUGACUAUACGUUUAACGGCCGCGGUAUCUUGACCGUGCAAAGGUAGCGCAAUCAAUUGUCUUUUAAAUGAAGACCUGUAUGAAUGGCGUAACGAGGGCUUAACUGUCUCCUUUUCUUUGUCAGUGAAAUUGAUCUUCCCGUGCAGAAGCGGGAAUAAAGACAUAAGACGAGAAGACCCUGUGGAGCUUCAGACACUAGAGUAGCCCAAUGUUAAAUUAUUUCCCCAAAAAACUAUAACUCAAGGCCCCUACUCCUAUGUCUUUGGUUGGGGCGACCAUGGAGUAAAAAGUAACCUCCACGCGGAAUGAGAGUACCACUCACUAAAAUCAGGGCUACCGCCCUAUUAAUCAGAAUUUCUGACCCUACAGAUCCGGCUUAUGCCGAUCAACGAACCGAGUUACCCCAGGGAUAACAGCGCAAUCCCCUUUAAAAGACCAUAUCCAAAAGGGGGUUUACGACCUCGAUGUUGGAUCAGGACAUCCUAUUGGUGCAGCCGCUAUUAAGGGUUCGUUUGUUCAACGAUUAAAGUCCUACGUGAUCU
rnacentral:rRNA from 1 species